AUUGAACGCUGGCGGCAGGCCUAACACAUGCAAGUCGAACGAGUGGCGGACGGGUGAGUAAUGUCUGGGAAACUGCCUGAUGGAGGGGGAUAACUACUGGAAACGGUAGCUAAUACCGCAUACCAUCAGAUGUGCCCAGAGGGGAUUAGCUAGUAGGUGGGGUAAUGGCUCACCAAGGCGACGAUCCCUAGCUGGUCUGAGAGGAUGACCAGCCAAACUGUAACUGAGACACGGGCCAGCCUCCUACGGGAGGACGCAGUGGUGAAUAGUGCACAAUGGGCGCAAGCCUGAUGCAGCCAUGCCGCGGGUGUGAAGAGGGCCUGCGGGUUGUAAAGCAGUUUCAGCGAGUAGGCGUUACUCGCAGAAGAAGCACCGGCUAACUCCGUGCCAGCAGCCGCGGUAAUUC
rnacentral:rRNA from 1 species